rnacentral:rRNA from 1 species
UUGUGAACGCGAAGAACCUUACCAAGGCUUGACAUACACCGAAAAACCCUGGAGACAGGCUCCCCCUUGUGGUCGGUGUACAGGUGGUGCAUGGCUGUCGUCAGCUCGUGUCGUGAGAUGUUGGGUUAAGUCCCGCAACGAGCGCAACCCUUGUCCCGUGUUGCCAGCAGGCCCUUGUGGUGCUGGGGACUCACGGGAGACCGCCGGGGUCAACUCGGAGGAAGGUGGGGACGACGUCCAGUCAUCAUGCCCCUUAUGUCUUGGGCUGCACACGUGCUACAAUGGGCGGUACAAUGAGCUGCGAUACCGCGAGGUGGAGCGAAUCUCAAAAAGCCCGGUCUCAGUUCGGAUUGGGGUCUGCCACUCGACCCCAUGAAGUCGGAGUCGCUAGUAAUCGCAGAUCAGCAUUGCUGCGGUGAAUACGUUCCCCGGUCUUGUACACACGCACAA